rnacentral:rRNA from 1 species
AUUGAACGCUGGCGGCAGGCCUAACACAUGCAAGUCGAGCGAGUGGCGGACGGGUGAGUAAUGUCUGGGAAACUGCCUGAUGGAGGGGGAUAACUACUGGAAACGGUGGCUAAUACCGCAUACCAUCAGAUGUACCCAUAUGGGAUUAGCUGGUAGGUGGGGUAACGGCUCACCUAGGCGACGAUCCCUAGCUGGUCUGAGAGGAUGACCAGCCACACUGGAACUGAGACACGGCCCAGACUCCUACGGGAGGCAGCAGUGGGGAAUAUUGCACAAUGGGCGCAAGCCUGAUGCAGCCAUGCCGCGUGUAUGAAGAAGGCCUUCGGGUUGUAAAGUACUUUCAGCGGGGAGGCGUUACCCGCAGAAGAAGCACCGGCUAACUCCGUGCCAGCAGCCGCGGUAAUUC